CGGGCCUCGAUCCCGUAAUACUUUAGUUAACAGCUAAAUACUCAAUCCAGCGAGCUUCACUCUACUUCUCCCGCUUAUUUA
rnacentral:tRNA from 1 species